CAAGUCGAACGCGAAAGUCCCGCAAGGGAUCAGUAGAGUGGCAAACGGGUGAGUAACACGUGGGUGACCUGCCUUCGAGUGGGGGAUAACGUCCCGAAAGGGACGCUAAUACCGCAUGACAUCCUGCCUUUGAAGAGGUGGAGCUUAAAGCUGGGGAUCGCAAGACCUAGCGCUUGAAGAGGGGCCCGCGCCUGAUUAGCUAGUUGGUGAGGUAAUGGCUCACCAAGGCAACGAUCAGUAUCCGGCCUGAGAGGGCGGACGGACACACUGGGACUGAGACACGGCCCAGACUCCUACGGGAGGCAGCAGUGGGGAAUUGUUCGCAAUGGGCGCAAGCCUGACGACGCAACGCCGCGUGGAGGAUGAAGAUCUUCGGGUCGUAAACUCCUUUCGAUCGAGACGAACGGCCCCUGGGCUAAUCACCAGGGGAGUGACGGUACCGAGAGAAGAAGCCCCGGCUAACUCCGUGCCAGCAGCCGCGGUAAUACGGGGGGGGCAAGCGUUGUUCGGAAUUACUGGGCGUAAAGGGCUCGUAGGCGGCCAGCUAAGUCAGACGUGAAAUCCCUCGGCUUAACCGGGGAACUGCGUCUGAUACUGGAUGGCUUGAGAUUGGGAGAGGGAUGCGGAAUUCCAGGUGUAGCGGUGAAAUGCGUAGAUAUCUGGAGGAACACCGGUGGCGAAGGCGGCAUCCUGGACCAACACUGACGCUGAGGAGCGAAAGCCAGGGG
rnacentral:rRNA from 1 species